ACGGGUGCGUAACGCGUAUGCAACCUACCUUAUACUGAGGGAUAGCCCAGAGAAAUUUGGAUUAAUACCUCAUAAUAAUAUUUUUUGGCAUCAUUAAAUAUUUAAAACUCCGGUGGUUAUAGAUGAGCAUGCGUUCUAUUAGUUUGUUGGUGAGGUAAAAGCUCACCAAGACUACGAUAGGUAGGGGUUCUGAGAGGAUGAUCCCCCACACUGGUACUGAGACACGGACCAGACUCC
rnacentral:rRNA from 1 species